rnacentral:rRNA from 1 species
UACGAAGGGGGCUAGCGUUGCUCGGAAUUACUGGGCGUAAAGCGCACGUAGGCGGACUCUUAAGUCGGGGGUGAAAGCCCAGGGCUCAACCCUGGAACUGCCUUCGAUACUGGGAGUCUUGAGUGUGGAAGAGGUUGGUGGAACUGCGAGUGUAGAGGUGAAAUUCGUAGAUAUUCGCAAGAACACCAGUGGCGAAGGCGGCCAACUGGUCCAUUACUGACGCUGAGGCGGCGAAAGCGUGGGGAGCAAACAGG